rnacentral:ncRNA from 1 species
AUAAAGUUUAAUUCUAGUUUAAAGAUUUAUUUAAUUUUUUUUUUACAUGUAAAUUUUUGUAGGAUAUUAGUUAAAUUUUAAAAAUUUAAUUAAAAUAAUUUAUUCGCAGUAUUUAAUUUUAAUAAUUUAAGAAAUUAAGAAUUAGAAAUAAAUUUUAAUAUUAACAAAUUUUGUGCCAGCAGUUGCGGUUAUACAAAAGAUAUAAAUGAAUUUUAUUAGUAAAUAAUUAUAUGAAUUAUUGAUAAAUUAAAAUAGUAUUUAUUAGGUGAAAUUUUAAGUAUUAAAUUAAUUUAUAAAAAAGUUUUUAUUAUUAUGAAAUUUAUAUUUAAACUAGGAUUAGAUACCCUAUUAUUUUAAAUGUAAAAAGUUUUACUUAAGUAGUAUUAGUUAUGUUCUUGAAAUUUAAAGAUUUUGGCGGUAUUUUAGUCUAUUUAGAGGAACCUGUUCUGUAAUUGAUAAUCCACGAUUAACUUUACUUAUUUUAUAAAUUUGUAUACCGUCGUUAUUAGAAAAUUUUAGCAGAAAAUAAAUUUUUAAUAUUUUAAAUUAAAAAAUAUAUCAGAUCAAGGUGCAGUAUAUAUCUAAGAAGAAAUGGGUUACAAUAAAUUUAUUUAUACGGAUUAAAGUAAGAAUAAACUUUAUGAAGGUGGAUUUAAUAGUAAUAAAAUUUAAUUAAAUUUUAUGAUUUUGGCUCUAAAAUAUGUACAUAUCGCCCGUCGCUCUUAUUAUAAGGUAAGAUAAGUCGUAACAUAGUAGAUGUACUGGAAAGUGUAUCUAGAAUGAA